rnacentral:rRNA from 1 species
CCCGCUGAACUUAAGCAUAUCAAUAAGCGGAGGAAAAGAAACCAACAGGGAUUGCCUUAGUAACGGCGAGUGAAGCGGCAAUAGCUCAAAUUUGAAAGCUGGCCCCUUCGGGGUCCGCGUUGUAAUUUGUAGAGGAUGGUUCGGCGAGGGCUCCCGUCUAAGUCCCUUGGAACAGGGCGUCAUAGAGGGUGAGAAUCCCGUAUGUGAUGGGCUGCCUUAGCCAUGUGAACCUCCUUCGACGAGUCGAGUUGUUUGGGAAUGCAGCUCUAAAUGGGAGGUAAAUUUCUUCUAAAGCUAAAUACCGGCCAGAGACCGAUAGCGCACAAGUAGAGUGAUCGAAAGAUGAAAAGCACUUUGGAAAGAGAGUUAAAAAGUACGUGAAAUUGUUGAAAGGGAAGCGCUUGCAGCCAGACUUGUCCGCAGUUGCUCAGCCUGUCUCCUGACAGGCGCACUCUUCUGCGGCCAGGCCAGCAUCAGUUCGGGCGGUCGGAUAAAGACCCGGGGAAUGUAGCUCCUCUCGGGGAGUGUUAUAGCCCUGGGUGCAAUGCGGCCAGCCUGGACUGAGGAUCUCGCUUCGGCUAGGAUGCUGGCGUAAUGGCUGUAAGCGGCCCGU